GAUGAACGCUGGCGGCGUGCUUAACACAUGCAAGUCGAACGAAGCACUUUAUUCGAUUUUCUUCAGAGAUGAAGAUUUAGUGACUGAGUGGCGGACGGGUGAGUAACGCGUGGAUAACCUGCCUCACACUGGGGGAUAACAGUUAGAAAUGACUGCUAAUACCGCAUAAGCGCACAGUACCGCAUGGUAUGGUGUGAAAAACUCCGGUGGUGUGAGAUGGAACCGCGUUGGAUUAGCCGGUUGGCGGGGUAACGGCCCACCAAAGCGACGAUCAAUAGCCGACCUGAGCGUGUGACCGGCCACAUUGGGCCUGAGACACGGCCAAAACUCCUACGGGAGGCAGCAGUGGGGAAUAUUGCUCAAUGGGGGAAACCCUGACGCGGCGACGCGGCGUGAGCGAUGAAGUAUUUCGGUAUGUAAAGCUCUAUCAGCAGGGAAGAAUAAAUGACGGUACCUGACUAAGAAGCCCCGGCUAACUACGUGCCAGCAGCCGCCGUAA
rnacentral:rRNA from 1 species